rnacentral:tmRNA from 1 species
GGGGACGUACCGGAAUCGACAGGAAAGACUAUCGGUAAGUAAGCAUGCCGGAGUAUCCUUGCUCAUCUCCGUUAUCAACUGGCAAGGGAACCUCUUUAAAUGGCAACACUCAGUAUGCCAUGGCUGCCUAAUCCUAGGGAUUAGAAAGCCUUUGCGCCGCAGGCCUGACGCCCGAUACACGGCUUGCCGCGCAUCAUCAUCCUUCGGGCUUAGCCGGGUGGCACGCUCCGCCCACCGGGCGAAAAGCAAGGAGCUAAGGUGUCCGUCUGGGUGCGUUGCCUGACCUGCCGGACACCCGACAACCCAACAGGCAACUAAGCAUGUAGAAAGCUUAUCGAGGCUUUCUCUGGACGCGGGUUCGACUCCCGCCGUCUCCACCA